AGGAAGUGGAGGAAGGAGGAGCAAAAAAGGCUGGCUUUGCUUGCUUUUGCAGAUAAUCAAAAGGAAAAGGAAAUGGGGGGAAGCGAAGCACUGUAGAAAGGAGAGUAGAGAGAGGCUAAUGGUGGCUGGCUGCUGCCAAAUUAAAACUGUGAAAGUUGGAAGAGAGAGAGAGAGAGAGAGAGAGAGAGAGAGAGAGAGAGAGAGAGAGAGAGAGAGAGAGAGAGAGAGAGAGAGAGAGAGAGAGAGAGAGAGAGAGAGAGAGAGAGAGAGAGAGAGAGAGAGAGAGAGAGAGAGAGAGAGAGAGAGAGAGAGAGAGAGAGAGAGAGAGAGAGAGAGAGAGAGAGAGAGAGAGAGAGAGAGAGAGAGAGAGAGAGAGAGAGAGAGAGAGAGAGAGAGAGAGAGAGAGAGAGAGAGAGAGAGAGAGAGAGAGAGAGAGAGAGAGAGAGAGAGAGAGAGAGAGAGAGAGAGAGAGAGAGAGAGAGAGAGAGAGAGAGAGAGAGAGAGAGAGAGAGAGAGAGAGAGAGAGAGAGAGAGAGAGAGAGAGAGAGAGAGAGAGAGAGAGAGAGAGAGAGAGAGAGAGAGAGAGAGAGAGAGAGAGAGAGAGAGAGAGAGAGAGAGAGAGAGAGAGAGAGAGAGAGAGAGAGAGAGAGGGAGAUGUGAAAGCAGAGGUGAAAUGGAAGCUUGAGAUAGAAAGAGAAGAAAAUACAGAGGUGAGUUACUCACUGGAUUUCUCUUGUUUAUGACUGAAAGCCAAAGGCUAAAAGGUUAAGAUUUCAUUUCAUUGUUCACACAGAGAGCUGAGUUGGAGGAUUCCAAACAGACAGACAUGGCCCCAUAAAGCAGGAGGGGGGAGGCCAAAUUAUAAAUUUUAGGUAUGGUCCAAAAGGCAAAGAUUUUGGUCUUUGAACUCAUCGUAAAAUGGCAAGCAAGCUCUCUCUCUAAUGGCGGCACAAUUCUAGUUGCUGUCAUUAAUUUCUUUUUUCCCCGAUAAUUAUUAUCAUUGGGUGGUAGUGAUGGCCGGGGAGUGCUUUCUCUGAUGAAGAAGAAAUGUGCGUUAAUCUGGAUUUUAGUAUCAUGGUAAGUAUUAAAUUUUGUAUGAUUAAUCAUUGGAGUAUAUUCAGUUAUUUAUUUACAUGUCAAUUUUUGUCAUCAAAAUUGCACGCUAAUUUUUUCCAGUGGUGUUGGG
rnacentral:lncRNA from 1 species